rnacentral:rRNA from 1 species
AUUGAACGCUGGCGGCAUGCUUUACACAUGCAAGUCGAACGGCAGCGCGGGCUUCGGCCUGGCGGCGAGUGGCGAACGGGUGAGUAAUGCAUCGGAACGUGCCCAGCAGUGGGGGAUAGCCCGGCGAAAUCCGGAUUAAUACCGCAUACGACCUGAGGGUGAAAGCGGGGGACCGAAAGGCCUCGCGCCAUUGGAGCGGCCGAUGUCGGAUUAGCUAGUUGGUGGGGUAAAGGCUUACCAAGGCGACGAUCCGUAGCUGGUCUGAGAGGACGACCAGCCACACUGGGACUGAGACACGGCCCAGACUCCUACGGGAGGCAGCAGUGGGGAAUUUUGGACAAUGGGGGCAACCCUGAUCCAGCCAUGCCGCGUGCGGGAAGAAGGCCUUCGGGUUGUAAACCGCUUUUGUUCGGGAAGAAAUCCUAUGGGCUAAUACCCCGGGGGGAUGACGGUACCGGAAGAAUAAGCACCGGCUAACUACGUG